AACGAACGCUGGCGGCAGGCUUAACACAUGCAAGUCGAACGGGCGUAGCAAUACGUCAGUGGCGGACGGGUGAGUAACACGUGGGAAUGUGCCUUUCGGUUCGGAACAACUCGGGGAAACUCGUGCUAAUUCCGGAUACGCCCUUACGGGGAAAGAUUUAUCGCCGAAAGAUCAGCCCGCGUCCGAUUAGCUAGUUGGUGAGGUAAAGGCUCACCAAGGCACCGAUCGGCAGCUGGUUUGAGAGAACGACCAGCCACACUGGGACUGAGACACGGCCCAGACUCCUACGGGAGGCAGCAGUGGGGAAUCUUGGACAAUGGGCGCAAGCCUGAUCCAGCCAUGCCGCGUGAGUGAUGAAGGCCUUC
rnacentral:rRNA from 1 species